rnacentral:rRNA from 1 species
AUGGUGCCCAGGGACAUUGCUCCCGCUCUUUUCGGCACGGCCUCUCGAAAAGAACGCACUGUCUAUGACGCACUAUCAAUGAACAAUUGGCUGCAUGAUCUGGAGCGAAACUGGAAAGAUGAUAUGAUCCAAGAACUCAUCAACCUAUCUAGUUUGCUUGACCAUACAGAGCUUAACCCACUUGUAGAAGACCACAUUACCUGGAAGUUAACAAAUGAUGGUGCUUACUCCGCCAGAUCGGCCUACCUCCUCCAGUUUGAAGGAAUGAUCAAAUCUCCUAUAUACAACAGUGUCUGGCGUGGAUGGGCUCCUGCCAAAUGCAAGAUCUUCCUAUGGAUGGCCUUGCAGCGCAAGAUUCUUACGGCGGACGUGCUAUUGUUGAGAGGUCGGGACAAUAACUAUUUUUGCCCUCUCUGCAUGCGCUGCCUUGAAACGGCCGCACACCUAUUCUCAGAGUGCUCAUGGUCCACACGAGUCUGGGACUAUAUGGCCACGACUGCAAACAUUCCUUCUUUAGUCUUCUCAGUGGAGCGUGGAUGCAACGCUCCAUGA